rnacentral:rRNA from 1 species
UCGGCGCACGGCUCAGUAAAACGUGGACAACCUGCCCUCGGGUGGGGGAUAACCCCGGGAAACUGGGGCUAAUACCCCAUAGGUGAUGGGUGCUGGAAUGCCCCAUCACCCAAAGCUCCGGCGCCCGAGGAUGGGUCUACGGCGGAUUAGGUUGUCGGCGGGGUAACGGCCCGCCAAGCCGAAGAUCCGUACGGGCCAUGAGAGUGGGAGCCCGGAGAUGGACCCUGAGACACGGGUCCAGGCCCUACGGGGCGCAGCAGGCGCGAAACCUUUACAAUGCGGGAAACCGUGAUAAGGGGACCCCGAGUGCCCCUGCCACGCAGGGGCUGUCCGGGUGUGUAAAAAGCACCCGACAGCAAGGGCUGGGCAAGACCGGUGCCAGCCGCCGCGGUAACACCGGCAGCCCGAGUGGUGGCCACUAUUAUUGGGUCUAAAGCGUCCGUAGCCGGCCUAGUAAGUCUCUCGGGAAAUCCGGCGGCUUAACCGUCGGGCGUCCGAGAGAUACUGCUAGGCUUGGGACCGGGAGAGGCCGAGGGUACUCCCGGGGUAGGGGUGAAAUCCUGUAAUCCCGGGAGGACCACCGGUGGCGAAGGCGCUCGGCUGGAACGGGUCCGACGGUGAGGGACGAAAGCCAGGGGAGCGAACCGGAUUAGAUACCCGGGUAGUCCUGGCUGUAAACGAUGCGGGCUAGGUGUCGGGUGAGCUACGGGCUCAUCCGGUGCCGGAGGGAAGCCGUGAAGCCC